rnacentral:rRNA from 1 species
GGGGAAUAUUGGACAAUGGGCGAAAGCCUGAUCCAGCAAUGCCGCGUGAGCGAUGAAGGCCUUCGGGUUGUAAAGCUCUGUGGGGAGAGACGAAUAAGGUGCGGCUAAUAUCCGCAUCGAUGACGGUAUCCCCUUAGCAAGCACCGGCUAACUCUGUGCCAGCAGCCGCGGUAAGACAGAGGGUGCAAACGUUGUUCGGAAUUACUGGGCGUAAAGCGCGUGUAGGCGGCUACGUAAGUCGGGCGUGAAAUCCCAUGGCUCAACCAUGGAAGUGCACCCGAAACUGCGUAGCUAGAGUCCUGGAGAGGAAGGUGGAAUACUUGGUGUAGAGGUGAAAUUCGUAGAUAUCAAGUGGAACACCGGUGGCGAAGGCGGCCUUCUGGACAGUGACUGACGCUGAGACGCGAAAGCGUGGGGAGCAAA